rnacentral:rRNA from 1 species
GACGAACGCUGGCGGCGUGCUUAACACAUGCAAGUCGAACGGAAAGGCCCUGCUUGCUGGGUACUCGAGUGGCGAACGGGUGAGUAACACGUGGGUGCUCUGCCCUGCACUUCGGGAUAAGCCUGGGAAACUGGGUCUAAUACCGGAUAGGAGCCAUUUUUAGUGUGAUGGUUGGAAAGUUUUUUCGGUGUAGGAUGAGCUGGCGGCCUAUCAGCUUGUUGGUGGGGUAAUGGCCUACCAAGGCGCCGACGGGUAGCCGGCCUGUGGGGGUGGACCGCCACAUUGGCUCUGACGUGAGGCCCCGACUCCUACUGGAGGCCGAAGUGGGGAAGAUUGCACCAGGGGCGCCAGCCUGGUGCAGAGGCGCCGCGUGGGGUAUGGCGGCCUUCGGGUUGUAAACUCGCUUCGCUAGGGACGAAGCUUUUUGUGACGGUACCUAGAUAAGAAGCACCGGCUAACUACGUG